GCAAGUUUCAGAGCUUUUUGA
rnacentral:miRNA from 1 species